rnacentral:rRNA from 1 species
UACGGAGGGUGCAAGCGUUAUCCGGAUUCACUGGGUUUAAAGGGUGCGUAGGUGGGUUCGUAAGUCAGUGGUGAAAUCUCCGAGCUUAACUUGGAAACUGCCAUUGAUACUAUGAGUCUUGAAUAUUGUGGAGGUCAGCGGAAUAUGUCAUGUAGCGGUGAAAUGCUUAGAUAUGACAUAGAACACCAAUUGCGAAGGCAGCUGGCUACGCAUAUAUUGACACUGAGGCACGAAAGCGUGGGGGAUCAAACAGG